CAAGCGUUGUCCGGAUUUAUUGGGCGUAAAGAGCUCGUAGGCGGCUCAGUAAGUCAGGUGUGAAACCUCCAGGCUCAACCUGGAGACGCCACCUGAUACUGCUGUGGCUAGAGUCCGGUAGGGGAGCGUGGAAUUCCUGGUGUAGCGGUGAAAUGCGCAGAUAUCAGGAGGAACACCAGCGGCGAAGGCGGCGCUCUGGGCCGGAACUGACGCUGAGGAGCGAAAGCCAAGGUAGCAAACAGG
rnacentral:rRNA from 1 species